rnacentral:rRNA from 1 species
GAUGAACGCUGGCGGCGUGCCUAAUACAUGCAAGUUGAGCGCUGAGACGAGGAGCUUGCUCCUCUUACGUUAGCGGCGGACGGGUGAGUAACACGUGGAUAACCUGCCUAUUAGCCUGGGAUAACUUCGGGAAACGGGAGCUAAUACCGGAUAAAAUAUUUAAACGCAUGGUUCAAUAGUGAAAGAUGCUUUUGCUUUACCUUAUAGUUGUAUCCGCGUCGAAUAAGCAAGUUGGUAAGGUAACGCCUUCCAAAGGCAACGAUGCGUAGCCGACCGGAGAGGGUGAGCGGCAACACGGGAACUGGAAAACGCCCCAGACUCCUCCGGGAGGAAGCAGUGGGGAAUCUUCGGCAAUGGCCGAAAUCUGGCCGGGGAAACGCGGCUGGGUGGAUGAGGUUCUUCGAAUCGAAAAACUCUUUUAUAAGGGAGAAACAAAGUUGGAGUUAACAAUGCACGUCGUGACGGUACCUAAUCAGAAAGCCACGGCUAACUACGUG